rnacentral:rRNA from 1 species
GAUGAACGCUGGCGGCGUGCCUAAUACAUGCAAGUCGAGCGAACAGAUAAGGAGCUUGCUCCUUUGACGUUAGCGGCGGACGGGUGAGUAACACGUGGGUAACCUACCUAUAAGACUGGGAUAACUUCGGGAAACCGGAGCUAAUACCGGAUAACAUUUGGAACCGCAUGGUUCUAAAGUGAAAGAUGGUUUUGCUAUCACUUAUAGAUGGACCCGCGCCGUAUUAGCUAGUUGGUAAGGUAACAGCUUACCAAGGCGACGAUACGUAGCCGACCUGAGAGGGUGAUCGGCCACACUGGAACUGAGACACGGUCCAGACUCCUACGGGAGGCAGCAGUAGGGAAUCUUCCGCAAUGGGCGAAAGCCUGACGGAGCAACGCCGCGUGAGUGAUGAAGGGUUUCGGCUCGUAAAACUCUGUUAUUAGGGAAGAACAAAUGUGUAAGUAACUGUGCACGUCUUGACGGUACCUAAUCAGAAAGCCACGGCUAACUACGUG